CCCUGGAGAGACUCCAAUCUCCCUGCUCGAGUCCUUCCCUUUUCUGCUUAUCAUGGGGAAGGAAUAUGCGUCUAGGCGUUAAAUCGCUCGAGUGCCAGCUGGCACAGCACAGCCACAGGGCCCCAGCAGGAGCGGGCCUCAGUUCUCAGAGAGCUGCACAAAGACCAAAGCAAAUUUAUUACUGUUUUUCAGUUUACAAAUGGGAAAUCCACAACAUUGGUCAAGAAGAAAAGGCACCAUGAAUGGGAAGACCGAAGUGCAGACAACCAGCUGGAACAAGGGUGAAAAUAUAGGAGAUUACGAUCCAUUCCUGGGUGGACGGCCAGCGUUCCAUCUUCACUAACACGAUAUAGUUGAAGAGCAUCAGAUGGAUACCUGAAAUAGGCUCUCAAAACAAGCAGGGUCUAGGAGCCAGUUGGACCCCUGCCUCCUUUCUUCUUGGACCAGAAGAGGACCCAAUCUGCUCCUAGAGAAACUUGCUACGAUGCAGAAGUGAGGUUAUAUGGAAAUGAAGUGUGUCCUACCUUUCAGAAACUUGGGAGAGUAGGAGAGACCAUUUUUGAAAAUCUGGUGAGAAAUACUCUUACAGAGAAAAACACAGCCCAAAGCACAUGGGACCUUCAAUCUGAAAUUGAAUUGUACUGUUAAGCAUGUCUGGUGAUUCAAAAGACUGGCAUACCUUAUUUCCAGUCACUUCCUCGAGGCCUGGGCUUUGUCAAUAUGUGAAGAUGAAUUUUGGAGAAUCAUGUAAACACAAUUGAACAGAUCUGGGGGAUCCAGUCUGAUGGGUUUGCUGAGGCCAAUCCAGUCAGCCACGCAGAAGUGUGCUGGACACACAGGCCCCACCACCCCCCGCCAAAGAGGCAGCCUCCCAACAAGCUGCCAAUGACAUAAGCAAAGCAGCGUGUCUCAAGUGUCUCCAAUCAUAAGAUUCGCCUGGGAAGCUGGUUAAACUAACACAGCCUCUUAGGCUCCUUCCUGAAGACUGGAUUCCAUGGGUCUAUGAUGGGGCUAGAAAUUUGCAUUUCUAACAAAACUCCCUUGUCAUCAUGGACGUUUUAGAGAUAUUGAUACUAUUAUUUCUACUGAUUUCUGCUCUCGGGAGUCUGUAAACUUUUUCUGCAAAUGGCCAACUGGUUAACUUUUAAGGCUUUGUAGAACCGAUAGUCUCUCUCUGUCUCUCACUACUCAUCAACUUGAUGUGGUAGCACAAAAGCAGUCAGUCAGCCUAUUGCUAAUGGUAAAUGAGAUUUAGCCUAAAGCUGCCUCCUUAAGUUCGGCCUGAAGUUUUCUCUGUACAUUGUGAACUAUAACAAAUGAAGGUGUAACAAGACCAAUCACCGAGUUUCGGUCAAUCAAAUGUAGCCAACUGCUCAAACUGUGUUCAAAUAAGGCAAACGCUGAGCUGUAACCAAUCCAGCUGUUUCUGUACCUCACUUCCGUUUUCUGUAUGCCACUUCCCUUUUUCUGUCCAUAAAUCUUCCACCACGUGGCCCUGCCAGAGUCUCUGAGCCUACUCUGGCUUGGAAGACUGCCCAAUUCACGAAUCGUUCAUUUGCUCAAUUAAACUCCUUUAAAUUUAUUCGGCUCAAGUUUUUCUUUUAACAGAAAUCAAGAGUCUGCCUGUGUUCCAAUUAUUUAUGGACACUAAAAUUUGAAUAUGUGUUUCAAGUAUUCCUUUUCAAAUUUUAUUAAAAAUGUAAAAACCAUUCUCAGUUCGCAGGCCACAAUCACAGGCCAUGGGUUGAAUUUGGCUCAAAAGCUGUAGUUUGCCAAGCCCUGUUCUAAGCUAACAGUUGGGGAAUCAUAAUAUAAAAGGAAGGACAGACCUGGGUGUGAAAUAGCUGCAAAAAUAUUAUCUCGGGCUGGGCGCAGUGGUUAUUGCCUGUAAUCCCAGCACUUUGGUAGGCUGAGGCAGGCCCAUAGCUUGAGGCCAGCAGUUCAAGACCAGCCUGGCCAACGUGGCAAAACCCCAUCUCUACUAAAAAUACAAAAAUUAAUUAGCCAGGUGUGGUGGUGAACACCUGUAAUCCCAGCUACUCGGGAGGCUGAGACAUGAGACUCACUUGAAUCCAGGAGAUGGAGGUUGCAGUGAGCCAAGAUUGUACCACUGCACUCCAGCCUAGGUGACAGAGUAAGAGUUUGUCUCCUAAAUAAAUAAAUAUUAUCUUGAUAAAAUAGUUGUUAGGAUUACAAAGAGUACUUAAAUAAUAGUACCUAGAACAUUGCCUCAAACUUAGUAGGUGCUCAAUAAAAGAAAGAUAUUAUUUUUGUUGAGUGGAUGUAUGAACACAACACUGAUUAUCUAUUGCUGGGCAACGUGAAUAGCCUAGAAGAAACAAUAGUCACAGUUACAUUGUACUUAUAUGUCAAGGAACUGUUCUAAGUGCUUUACAUGUUUUAACACAUUUAAUCUUGAUUAAAUCCUAUAAAAUCGGAACUACUAUUAUUGGCAUCUUAAGAAAACUGUGGACAGAAGGGGAAAUUAAGUUGUUUGAGGGCACAUGGUAAGAGGUGCAGAUGGGAUUCCCACCCAGGCUGUCUGAUUCCAAAGUCCAUGCUUGUCACCACUAAGCUGUUUUCUGCAAGGUUAAAAAUAAUAUAGAGC
rnacentral:lncRNA from 10 species